CCAGAAGCUACUUCUACAAACUCUAGAAUAUAGAUGAGCCUGGCCCAAUCACGCGCUACAUCUCGACCCAGUGGAUUUGCAGCACACCUGCAUUGGAGAAAAGUGAAACAUCUGCUGAGCCUAUACCCGCCCAAGAGAGAGAAAGAAAGAGAAAGAGACGGAGAUACAGACGGAAACAAGAAACUUGUACCAAAAGAAUGAAGGAGUAAAGGGUCAUUUUGGGAAGUAAC
rnacentral:lncRNA from 1 species